CAGUAGCCGCGGGAAUACGUAGGUGGCAAGCGUUGUCCGGAAUUAUUGGGCGUAAAGGGCUCGCAGGCGGUUUCUUAAGUCUGAUGUGAAAGCCCCCGGCUCAACCGGGGAGGGUCAUUGGAAGCCGGGAAACUUGAGUGCAGAAGAGGAGAGUGGAAUUCCACGUGUAGCGGUGAAAUGCGUGGAGAUGUGGAGGAACACCAGUGGCGAAGGCGACUCUCUGGUCUGUAACUGACGCUGAGGAGCAAAAGCGUGGGGAGCGAACAGGAUUAGAUACCCCCGUAGUCCCUGUCUCUUAUAC
rnacentral:rRNA from 1 species